GGACAUCCAUGAUUACCGGCUUCCUGAUGAUAUCGACGCUUAUGAUCUUUCGUUGGAAGUUUGCAAGGCCCUUCGGGAACUUGGUAGUAGUAAUGAGAUAUCCUUGUGUGCUUAUGGCGAUAGCAAGAAUAGAAUGAAUGGUCCGUAUGAAGGAUUCACUUUCCGACUUAACUUAGGAGAUGAAGAUGAGAGACGUCAGAUCGUUUUAGUGUAUGUGGCGAAAUAGUUAUUAACCGUCAACAAGCAUUAAAUUUUGUGCUAAUCAUGGGUGACGUCUCAGGACAAAUGGACUUCAUCAGGACUAUUCGCUUACUGAGAUCGAGAGGAUAUUGCAAUGUUUUCUUAGUACAAGAGCCUCCAAACGGUUCAGGAGAUCUUGGAAGUACAGAUUGGCUUCGGGCAGGCCUAUCCCUUGGAGAAAACCUUAUCACUCAAAGCCAAACCUCUGCUGGCAUUAUGGCUAGCUAGAUUAGCAGGUUCAUUGAGGAUUAGUUCUUAUUUGUACUGUCAUUGCUUGCUUUUGUUACCAAGGCUAACUAACAUCUCA